GAGGAUGCGACUGUUGUGUGAUUGAGCUGAAAUAUUGCAUAUUUUAGCUAUUUAAAACCAAGCUUGAAUAAAAGAGACAUGGGAAGAGAGUUAAGUGGGGAAAGAGAGAGAAGUGAAAGCAACCGAAAUGGAGGGAGGCAUCAAUCGGUGAGUUAGAUAUUGAGGUGUGUUAGUCAAGAGAAGUGGGGGAAGAUACGGAUAGAAGGAGUGAAAAGGGAGUGUGCCGAGAUUGAAGGAGUGGUCUGAAGUAUUUGGAAAGUGAAAGAAAGCAUGUGAAAUGUGUGGGGUCGGUUGGAGAAGAGAAGGAAAGGACACCAACACAUGGACACAUGCAGCAAUGCAAAACACUCACGUGGGACCAACCUCACACAAGCAGCAGAAAUGCACAUCACUCGGACAACAACCUGGACACCAUGCAGCAGAGGAAAACACAAUGCAGCACAUGGACAAGCAAACAAACACAUGCAUGACAGCAACUAAUCCUUCGGAUCACACAUGCACAGCAGAAAGAAAUCAUUCGGACAUACAAGCAGGAACACAGCUGCAGGAAACGCUGGACAAACUCACACAUGCAGAAAGUAAAAUGCAGUGGACAGCGCAUGCAGCAGCAAAGCAGAACACAUGACACCAAGCACCUCAUUCGGACAGCAGGAAAACACAUGCAGCAGAGGAAUUAGAAGCACAUGACAGCAGACCACUCUCACAUGACAGCAGGAAAGACACACGGACAGCACUCAACAUGCACUCAACUCAACAUGUACACAUGCAGAACACAUUUCGGAAUCUGCAGCAGAACACAUAGAUGCACAUGCAGAAAACAAAAAAAAAAAAAACAUAGCAGCAGAAAAGCACAUGCAGCAGCAGAAAA